CCUACGGGAGGCAGCAGUGGGAAAUAUUGGACAAUGGGCGAAAGCCUGAUCCAGCAAUGCCACGUGAGUGAUGAAGGCCCUAGGGUUGUAAAGCUCUUUUACCCAGGAUGAUAAUGACAGUACCAAGAGAAUAAACCCCAGCUAACUCCAUGCCAGCAGCCGCGGUAAU
rnacentral:rRNA from 1 species